AAUUCAGUGAAUCAUCGAAUCUUUGAACGCACCUUGCGCCCCUUGGCAUUCCGAGGGGCACACCCGUUUGAGUGUCGUGAAAUUCUCAAAAACCCUUUCUUUUGAUCGGAUUUUUGGACUUGG
rnacentral:rRNA from 1 species